rnacentral:misc_RNA from 1 species
GAAGGUGGGGCUAAUGACUGGGGUGAAGUCGUAACAAGGUAGCCGUACCGGAAGGUGCGGCUGGAUCACCUCCUAACAGGGAGACAACAAAAUGUAAAUAUUAAUUUUGUCACCUUAGGUCGAUCGGUAUCUCAGAUUCUUAUUUUUUAAGAAUUUCAGUUUCUAAGUUUUUUCUAGGUCACACCCAUCACUUUUCCCUGGGCCAUUAGCUCAGGUGGUUAGAGCGCACCCCUGAUAAGGGUGAGGUCCCUGGUUCAAGUCCAGGAUGGCCCAUAUCUCUAUGUUGGGGGUAUAGCUCAGUUGGUAGAGCGCCUGCUUUGCAAGCAGGAUGUCAGCGGUUCGAGUCCGCUUACCUCCACUGAAUACCACCUCAUACAUAUUUUCAAACAGGGAAAUUGUUUUGAGUCGUGUCCUCUUUUGCUCUGAGCGAAUCUAGCUUCCUAUUUUAUUUAAUAAAUAAGAUGCUGGACUCAUUGAAUUUUUUUCAUUGUUUUCAGAGAACCUUGACAACUGCAUAGAUUAUUUUUGAAGACAAUAAGCAUCUUUAAUGAUGCAGAUUUAUUAUUUGUGCUAAUGCAUUAAAUAACAAUUCUAUUAAGCUGAUGCUUCAAUUAUUGAAGUUAUUGGUCAAGCUACAAAGGGCUCACGGAGGAUACC